rnacentral:rRNA from 1 species
GCAUAUUAAUAAGCGGAGGAAAAGAAACUAACAAGGAUUCCCCUAGUAGCUGCGAGCGAACAGGGAGGAGCCCAGCACUGAAUCCUGCGUGCCAAGCGCGCGUCUGGAAAUGUAGUGUUUGGGAGGGCCCGUUCAUCUCGUCGCCGUGCGCCCGUCCAAGUCCGUCUUGAAGCGGCCACAGCCCGUAGAGGGUGCCAGGCCCGUCUGACGGCGCAUCGGCGGCGAGAGGGUCUCUCCUUAGAGUCGGGUUGCUUGAGAAUGCAGCUCUAAGUGGGUGGUAAACUCCAUCUAAGGCUAAAUAUGACCACAAGACCGAUAGCGAACAAGUACCGUGAGGGAAAGUUGAAAAGCACUAGACCAAGUCUCUGCUACCGUAAGACAGCGUA